rnacentral:lncRNA from 1 species
AGCUGUGUGGCGAUGUGAAGAGCCCUGUGAGGCAAUGUGAGCCUUGUGUGGCAAUGAGACGAGCUCUGUGAGGCGAUGUGAGCUCUUGUGUGGUGAUAUGAGCCUUUUGUGAGGCGAUGUGAGCUCGUGUGUGGUGAUGUGAGCCUUGUGUGGCUAUGUGAGCUCGUGUGAGGCGAUGCAAGCUUGUGUGAGGCAAUGUGAGCUCGUGUGAGGUGAUGUGAGCUCAUGUGAGGCAAUGUGAGCCUUGUGUGUUUGUGUGUGUGUGGCCCAUGAGAGAGUGUGUGUGGCGAUGUGAAGCCAUGAGGGUGUGUGUGUGGCGAUGUGGACGUAUGAGGGAGUGUGUGUGACGAUGUGAAGAUGUGUAGCUAAGUGAGGGAGUGUGUGUGGCGAUUUGAGUGAGUGGGAAGGGUGCUGGUUCCUUUCUUCUGUUCUUCAUUAUCUAUGUUGAUCACUUUGUAGACUUUCAGAAACACUUGAUUUAUUUUACGUAAGUUUUUCUUCAAAGAUUUUCCGAAAAUUGCUUUACGAAAGGUUAUUUCAUAGAUUUCCUAUGAGGUUUUUCCGCGGAAACUUUUCGAAUUUUGUUUUGUGAAGAUUGUUGCGUAAAAAUUGUUUUACGAAAGGUUAUUUCAUAGAUUUCCUAUGAGGUUUUUCCGCGGAAACUUUU